rnacentral:rRNA from 1 species
CCAGACUCCUACGGGAGGCAGCAGUGGGGAAUAUUGGGCAAUGGGCGCAAGCCUGACCCAGCAAUGCCGCGUGAAGGAAGAAGGCUUUCGGGUUGUAAACUUCUUUGACAGGGGAAGAGCAGAAGACGGUACCCUGAAAACAAGCCACGGCUAACUACGUGCCAGCAGCCGCGGUAAUACGUAGGGUGCGAGCGUUAAUCGGAAUUACUGGGCGUAAAGGGUGUGCAGGCGGCUGAGUAAGACAGAUGUGAAAUCCCCGGGCUUAACCUGGGAACCGCAUAUGUGACUGCUUGGCUAGAGUGCGUCAGAGGGAGGUGGAAUUCCACGUGUAGCAGUGAAAUGCGUAGAUAUGUGGAAGAACACCGAUGGCGAAGGCAGCCUCCUGGGACGCAACUGACGCUCAUACACGAAAGCGUGGGGAGCAAACAGGAUUAGAUACCCGGGUAUA